rnacentral:rRNA from 1 species
GAUGAACGCUGGCGGCGUGCCUAAUACAUGCAAGUCGAGCGAACAGACGAGGAGCUUGCUCCUCUGACGUUAGCGGCGGACGGGUGAGUAACACGUGGAUAACCUACCUAUAAGACUGGGAUAACUUCGGGAAACCGGAGCUAAUACCGUAUAAUAUAUUGAACCGCAUGGUUCAAUAGUGAAAGACGGUUUUGCUGUCACUUAUAGAUGGAUCCGCGCCGCAUUAGCUAGUUGGUAAGGUAACGGCUUACCAAGGCAACGAUGCGUAGCCGACGUGAGAGGGUGAUCGGCCACACUGGAACUGAGACACGGUCCAGACUCCUACGGGAGGCAGCAGUAGGGAAUCGUACGCAAUGGGCGAAAGCCUGACGGAGCAACGCCGCGUGAGUGAUGACGGUCUUCGGAUCGUAAAACUCUGUUAUUAGGGAAGAACAAAUGUGUAAGUAGCUAUGCACGUCUUGACGGUACCUAAUCAGAAAGCCACGGCUAACUACGUG